rnacentral:tRNA from 1 species
AGGGACUUAGGUUAGACACAAACCAGUGACCUUCAAAGUCACAAACAAGGACUAAAACACCCUUAGCCCCUG